rnacentral:rRNA from 1 species
GCGCCUGGAUAUUACGAGCUUUAGCUUGAAAUCCAAGGGACUUGACGGUGUUCUACCCUCCUAGAGGAGCCUGUCCUACAAUCGAUGAUCCCCGCUACACCCAACCAUUUCUUGCCUUAUUCAGCCUGUAUACCUCCGUCGCCAGCCCGCCAUGUGAAUGUAGUGUUUUGGCCCAAUGAUCAGCCUAAUAAAUACGUCAGGUCAAGGUGCAGCCUAUGAGAUGGAAUGAGAUGGGCUACAAUUUCUAGAUUAGAACAUACGGAAACCUAUAUGAAGUAUAGUUAUGAAGGUGGAUUUAGUAGUAAAAAGAACC